rnacentral:lncRNA from 1 species
UAUUUCAUCUUUUGUAGUUGAUGAAAUAGUUGUAUUGAAAGACAAGUUAUGUAAUUGGAAAUGAAUGUAAGAAUCUUGUAUGUAAUGGAUUAAUACAAGCUUUGUAUUUUGUUAAAUGUAAUCAAGAUACAAUAUAUGGAUGUAAUAGCUAGUUUACUUUCACUUGCUCUUGUUAAAUGUAAUCAAGAUACAAUGUAUGGAUGUAAUAGCUAGUUUACUUUCACUUG